AGCGAACGCUGGCGGCAGGCCUAACACAUGCAAGUCGAACGAACUCUUCGGAGUUAGUGGCGGACGGGUGAGUAACACGUGGGAACGUGCCCCUUGGUACGGAAUAACUCAGGGAAACUUGAGCUAAUACCGUAUGUGCCCUUCGGGGGAAAGAUUUAUCGCCAUUGGAGCGGCCCGCGUCUGAUUAGCUAGUUGGUAAGGGAAAGGCUCACCAAGGCGACGAUCAGUAGCUGGUCUGAGAGGAGGAACAGCAACAUUGGGACUGAGACACGGCCCAAACUCCUACGGGAGGGAUCAGUGGGGAAUCUUGCGCAAUGGGCGAAAGCCUGACGCAGCCAUGCCGCGUGAAUUAUGAAGGUCUUAGGAUUGUAAAAUUCUUUCACCGGGGACGAUAAUGACGGUACCCGGAGAAGAAGCCCCGGCUAUCUUCGUGCCAGCCGCCGCCGUAA
rnacentral:rRNA from 1 species